rnacentral:lncRNA from 1 species
UGUCCAGUGCUCUGUUUUUUCGCGACCAGCACUGUCCAGUGCUCUGUUUUUCGCGACCAGCACUGUCCAGUGCUCUGUUUUCGCGACCAACACUGUCCAGUUGCUUAAAUUAACCUGCACAGAUAAAACAAGAAAAAUUAAUCUGCAAUUCUGCUAAGUUGCUUAAAUUUAUUUGAUUUGUUGCUCUAUUUUUCUAUAAAACAACACUGAAAAUUGAAAUGGCAUCAUCCGAUAAUAGUAAACGAAGUGAUAUAGCUUGGAAUAUAUGUUACUUAUUUUAUGAGUUUAUGACUAUCUAUUGAGUUUUUAUUUUUUAAAUUGAUAUAUUUAUUAUUAACAUAUUAUUGUUAUUGAGUUUUU